rnacentral:misc_RNA from 1 species
UUAAAAUUCGUUUUAUAUACGGAAGCGCGGGUUUUCUCUCGUACACCCACGGGAUUCGCGUUCACAGGGUGGAAAAUAUGGGGGGGGGUUAGGCCAACGUAGCAGCUGCGAACAGCCACGCCGCCAGCCCAAAAAUUCGAUAAUGAUCCUUCCGCAGGUUCACCUACGGAAA